CAUAUGCUUGUCUCAAAGAUUAAGCCAUGCAUGUCUCAGUACAAGCCGCAUUAAGGUGAAACCGCGAAAGGCUCAUUAAAUCAGUUAUGGUUCCUUAGAUCGUACCCACAUUUACUUGGAUAACUGUGGUAAUUCUAGAGCUAAUACAUGCAAACAGAGUUCCGACCGGAGACGGGAGGAACGCUUUUAUUAGAUCAAAACCAAUCGGCGGCGGGCCUCGGUCCGUUCGCCGCUCAAUUUGGUGACUCUGAAUAACUUUCGGCUGAUCGCACGGUCUCGCACCGGCGACGCAUCUUUCAAAUGUCUGCCUUAUCAACUGUCGAUGGUAGGUUCUGCGCCUACCAUGGUCGUAACGGGUAACGGGGAAUCAGGGUUCGAUUCCGGAGAGGGAGCCUGAGAAACGGCUACCACAUCCAAGGAAGGCAGCAGGCGCGCAAAUUACCCACUCCCGGCACGGGGAGGUAGUGACGAAAAAUAACGAUACGGGACUCAUCCGAGGCCCCGUAAUCGGAAUGAGUACACUUUAAAUCCUUUAACGAGGAUCAAUUGGAGGGCAAGUCUGGUGCCAGCAGCCGCGGUAAUUCCAGCUCCAAU
rnacentral:rRNA from 1 species